rnacentral:rRNA from 1 species
CACAUGCAAGUCGAGCGGUAGAGAGAAGCUUGCUUCUCUUGAGAGCGGCGGACGGGUGAGUAAUGCCUAGGAAUCUGCCUGGUAGUGGGGGAUAACGUUCGGAAACGGACGCUAAUACCGCAUACGUCCUACGGGAGAAAGCAGGGGACCUUCGGGCCUUGCGCUAUCAGAUGAGCCUAGGUCGGAUUAGCUAGUUGGUGGGGUAAUGGCUCACCAAGGCGACGAUCCGUAACUGGUCUGAGAGGAUGAUCAGUCACACUGGAACUGAGACACGGUCCAGACUCCUACGGGAGGCAGCAGUGGGGAAUAUUGGACAAUGGGCGAAAGCCUGAUCCAGCCAUGCCGCGUGUGUGAAGAAGGUCUUCGGAUUGUAAAGCACUUUAAGUUGGGAGGAAGGGCAGUAAAUUAAUACUUUGCUGUUUUGACGUUACCGACAGAAUAAGCACCGGCUAACUCUGUGCCAGCAGCCGCGGUAAUACAGAGGGUGCAAGCGUUAAUCGGAAUUACUGGGCGUAAAGCGCGCGUAGGUGGUUCGUUAAGUUGGAUGUGAAAUCCCCGGGCUCAACCUGGGAACUGCAUUCAAAACUGACGAGCUAGAGUAUGGUAGAGGGUGGUGGAAUUUCCUGUGUAGCGGUGAAAUGCGUAGAUAUAGGAAGGAACACCAGUGGCGAAGGCGACCACCUGGACUGAUACUGACACUGAGGUGCGAAAGCGUGGGGAGCAAAC